rnacentral:lncRNA from 1 species
UCGGCACCACACUCAGCCUCGCUUCUCCUCCCCACAGCUGCCGUGAGACCAACCUCUACUGGUACCAGGAUAAUCGGUGCAAGAGCCGGGUCAGCAAGAUGGCUGUGGGCAUGGGCCUGGCCGUGGCGGUCUUGUGCUUGGUCAUCUUUGGCCUUGCUGCCUUCAUCUUCAGGUCCAGGAGGCAGAAGUCGUUGGACAGGUACAGCAACCUGACAGAGACCAAGAAGCAGUGGUACGAGGAAGAGGAUGAGAACUGGAAACUCCCUGGGGGCUUCACCAUCCAGAAUGAUGAUGUCUAUGAGGACACCAUGCGGGUUGACCUGCAGUCCGUGGACACCUUGGCAAAGGUCCAAAUCCAGAGGCCAGAGAGGAUCACCUCGGAGCUCUGAGCAGGGAGGAGGGGACACCAGGAGGCUGCCUCCUCUCCCCCCAGGGAGCCACACAGCACUGGGGGAUAACCCUUGCUUUUCGGGAGGUAUCAUGACCUCAAGUUGGGGAUCAUGGCCCUCACUUUUAUGGUCAUGACCCCCACCCUUCCUAUAGCACUUCAUUUGGCCC